rnacentral:sRNA from 1 species
GCCGGGCACGAUGGCUCAUGCCUGUAAUCCCAGCACCUUGGGAGGCCGAGGCAGAUGGAUCACCUGAGGUCAGGAGUUCGAGACCAGACUGGCCAACCUGGUGAAACGCUGUCUCUACUAAAAAUACAAAAAUUAGCCAGGAGAUUUGGUGGGUGCCUGUAAUCCCAGCUACUCAGGAGGCUGAGGCAGGAAAAUCACUUGAACCCAGGAGGCAGAGAUUGCAGUGAGCCAAGAUUGCACCAUUGCACUCCAGCCUGGGCAACAGAGUGAGACUUUAUCUCA